rnacentral:rRNA from 1 species
UACAGAGGUCCCGAGCGUUGUUCGGAUUUAUUGGGCGUAAAGGGUGCGUAGGCGGCGGAGUAAGUUGGGUGUGAAAAUCCCCGGGGGCUUAACCUCGGAAUUGCAUUCAAUACUGCUUCGCUAGAGUACUGGAGAGGAGGCUGAAUUUACGGUGUAGCAGUGAAAUGCGUAGAUAUCGUAAGGAAGGCCGGUGGCGAAAGCGAGCCUCUGGACAGUUACUGACGCUGAUGCACGAAGGCCAGGGGAGCAAACGGG